rnacentral:rRNA from 1 species
UACGUAGGGGGCGAGCGUUGUCCGGAGUUACUGGGCGUAAAGCGCUUGUAGGCGGUCCACCAAGUUUGGGGCGACAGUUGCCGACUUAAUCGGCAAAGUGCCUCAAAGACUGGCGGACUUGAGGGCCACAGAGGGACAUGGAACUCCAGGUGUAGUGGUGAAAUGCGUAGAUAUCUGGAAGAACACCAAAGGCGAAGGCAGUGUCCUGGGUGGUCGCUGACGCUGAGAGGCGAAAGCCAGGGGAGCGAACGGG